rnacentral:rRNA from 1 species
CACGUAGGAGACAAGCGUUAUCCGGAUUUACUGGGUGUAAAGCGCGUGCAGGCGGACGUGUAAGUUGGAUGUGAAAGCUCCUGGCUUAACUGGGAGAGGUCGUUCAAGACUGCAGGUCUGGAGGACAGCAGAGGGGAGUGGAAUUCCGAGUGUAGCGGUAAAAUGCAUAGAUAUUCGGAAGAACACCAGUGGCGAAGGCGGCUCUCUGGGCUGAUCCUGACGCUCAGACGCGAAAGCUAGGGUAGCAAACGGG